rnacentral:rRNA from 1 species
GAUUAAGGGCGCGCGGUGGAUGCCUAGGCUCUCGGAGGCGAAGAAGGACGCGAUAAGCCGCGAUAGUCCACGGCGAGGUGCAAGUAACCCUUGACCCGUGGGUUUCCGAAUGGGGCAACCCGGCCGUCUAGAUGACGGUCAUGCAUUAUCAUGCAGGCGAACGCGGGGAACUGAAACAUCUCAUUACCCGCAGGAGAAGAAAACAAAAUGUGAUUCCCCCAGUAGUGGCGAGCGAACGGGGAAGAGCCCAAACCGUUGCCGUUUCGGCGACAGCGGGGUCAUGGGACCGCGACAUUCGACGGAAGACGAAGUGCAAUUACCUGGAAAGGUAAGCCGUGGAGGGUGACAGCCCCGUGCACGACACCUCUUUCGAAGAUAGCGGUAUCCCGAGUAGGGCGGGACACGAGAAAUCCUGCCUGAAUUCGCCAGGACCUCCUGGCAAGGCUAAAUACUCCCGAGAGACCGAUAGUGAACCAGUACCGCGAGGGAAAGGUGAAAAGUACCCCGAGCAGGGGGGUGAAAUAGACCCUGAACCCGCGCGCCUACAAGCGGUCGGAGCCACGCGAUGUGGUGACGGCGUGCCUUUUGCAUAAUGAGCCUACGAGUUAGUCGUCACCAGCGAGGUUAAGGGCUUCAGGCCCGUUAGCCGAAGUGAAAGCGAGCCUUAACAGGGCGUCGAGUUGGUGGCGCUAGACGCGAAACCUUGUGAUCUACCCACGAGCAGGUUGAAGUCGCGGUAACACGUGAUGGAGGACCGAACCGGUAAACGUUGAAAAGUUUUCGGAUGACUCGCGGGUAGGGGUGAAAGGCCAAUCAAACUGGGAAAUAGCUCGUACUCUCCGAAAUGCAUUUCGGUGCAGCCUGUGAUGUUCUGUUCCAGAGGUAGAGCUACUGGUUGGACGCGAGGGCUUCACCGCCUAUCAAAUCCGGAUAAACUCCGAAUGCUGGAACACGAAAUCAUGGAGUGAGCCCGCGGGUGCUAAGGUCCGCGGACGAGAGGGAAAGAACCCGGACCACCGGCUAAGGUCCCGGAUGGACAGUUAAGUUGAUCAAACGAGGUGGGAUCGCGGAGACAGCUAGGAUGUUGGCUUGGAAGCAGCCAUUCAUUUAAAGAGUGCGUAACAGCUCACUAGUCGAGCGAUCCCGCGUGGAUAAUACACGGGCAUCAAACUGUCAACCGAAGCCGUGGGGUUAGUGAUGAGCUAACCGGUAGGAGAGCAUUCCUGCCAGCUUUGAAGGUCACCCGCGAGAGUGACUGGAGCGGCAUGAAAAGCAAAUGUAGGCAUAAGUAACGAUAAUGGGGGCGAGAACCCCCCACGCCGCAAGACCAAGGAUUCCCCGGCAAUGUCAAUCAGCCGGGGGUCAGCCGGCCUCUAAGGCUCACCCGAAAGGGGAUGCCGACGAGAAACGGGUUAACAUUCCCGUGCUUCUCGUCACCGUGACGCGGUGACGGGGUGAUGAAUGGACCGCGCGCUGACGGAAUAGCGCGUUGAAGGCCGUACCCUUUGAGGGUGGUAGUCAAGCACGCCACCCGAGGCGAGAGUCGAUAGUACCUCGAGGCCUCGGCCGAGGGGAUAGCGUCCAGGCAAUUUACCCCCUAGAAAACCCGCUAAACUUCAAGUGACGAGGAACCGUACUGUAAACGGACACACGUGGUCGGGUAGAACAUACCAAGGCGCUCGAGUGAUUCAUGGUCAAGGAACUAGGCAAAAUAGUCCUGUAACUUAGGGAUAAAGGACGCUCUAGUGAUAGAGCCGCAGAGUAAUGGCCCAGGCGACUGUUUACCAAAAACACAUGGCUAUGCCAAAUCGAAAGAUGACGUAUAUGGCCUGACACCUGCCCGGUGCCGGAAGGUUAAGAGGAGAGCUCAUCGGAAACGAGAAGGUUUGAAUUGAAGCCCCGGUAAACGGCGGCCGUAACUAUAACGGUCCUAAGGUAGCGAAAUUCCUUGUCGGGUAAGUUCCGACCUG